UGGGGAAUAUUGGACAAUGGGCGCAAGCCUGAUCCAGCCAUGCCGCGUGAGUGACGAAGGUCUUCGGAUUGUAAAACUCUUUUGGCGGGGACGAUAAUGACGGUACCCGCAGAAUAAGCCCCGGCUAACUUCGUGCCAGCAGCCGCGGUAAUACGAAGGGGGCUAGCGUUGUUCGGAAUCACUGGGCGUAAAGCGCACGUAGGCGGAUGUGCCAGUCAGGGGUGAAAUCCCGGAGCUCAACUCCGGAACUGCCUCUGAUACUGCACGUCUUGAGUUCGAGAGAGGUGGGUGGAAUUCCUAGUGUAGAGGUGAAAUUCGUAGAUAUUAGGAAGAACACCGGUGGCGAAGGCGGCCCACUGGAUCGGUACUGACGCUGAGGUGCGAAAGCGUGGGGAGCAAACAGGAUUAGAUACCCAAGUAGUCCCUGAGCGGGCUGGCAAGGCGCAU
rnacentral:rRNA from 1 species